UUAUUAUUAUUAUUAUUAAUAUUCAUUUUCAGAACAUAUUUCAUUUCAAACCUGACAGAUUUCUCUGGUUCCAAAAAUCAUUACUGGUUCUUGCAAAGGCAAGAAAGCAAUAUUAGGAAAUAAAUAUUGUCUUCUUCACACAGUUGUGUAUUAUUUCACAGAAUAAAAAUGAUGAUGACUCAUCCUGCACUACACCAAAUCUGUCCAAUCAAAUGCUUUCUAGAGCAAGACCCUCCCCCAACACAACAUGUGACAGACCGGCAGCACAACAAACACAUCUUCUGGACUCUCUUCUGGUAAUAUGAGCUCCUAAAUACCUUUCCUGAUGCUUUGAAUCCGCCUGGAUGUGGACAAAGGUGUCAGGUGAAAGCUGUGCAGCUGAAACACAACAGACACACGAGUGUCUUCGCUGCUGCAGAUCCGCCCUCACUGUCAUUCAGCUGCAGAGGAGAGCGAGAGAGCAAUGAAUGAACACAAACACUGCAACAACAUCACUACAAACUUACUACAUUACUCUCAGGACUUCACACACCAGCGCUUCUUCACGCCGAAAGAAAGUCACAGGAUCAGUGAAGUGUUGUGGACUGUAAGCCUGUUGAGCAGAAGCAGAGACGAGUGGACAAACACUGACUGUACUGAUGAUGAUCAUCUGCUGCUGCACAGCAGUAAUGAAGUAUAACCCCUGCUGGACAUGGCUCCGGAAGCUCCAGGGGGAGACCGAACUGGUAUCCCCACCUCUCCAGGCACAACUCACUCACUGUGCACUCAUAUUGCAAAGAUCCGGCUGGGAUCGAUCCAGCAACCAUUAAAGUCAUGGGGCAGCGAUCUUACCACAGAGCCACUGAUCUCCUGUCUGGAUGCCUGCUGGAAUUGAUGUCACUGCUGACCUGUUUCAAUAAAACAAUAUAUGUCAAAAUUGAA